CUAGUGCUCGCAGUAAAAGGGUAUAUCGUAAGAAAAUUAAUUUUUUCAAUCCUAAGACCAUGUAUAUUUUUAAUCAGAAAGCGAGUCGAUCUGGCCAAAUUUUUUUUUGCAAGAGCCAGCUGGAUUUUGUAAACCAUUAAAACAAGAGCAAUCAAUCAUGUGCAUACAUACAUACAUAUGUACUAUGAUAUUUAACUGUACGUCCAUUUCUGUAACCUAGUGCUCCAAUCUAGUGCAACAAAUGAGAACAAUUCUGAGAAAAUAUGACUUAUGCAAGCUUGCAUAAAGACAAUAAUUUUUCAUAAGACUGACUAAAAACGACGCUAAUCAAUAUAAUAUUACAGAAAGCUGGAAUUAUAAUGAGUGGUCGAAAAAUAAAAAUACGCUAACUAAAGAGAAGUGCAUUGCACAGCAAUAAACAGAGAGCUGAAAAUUUUGGGACUAGAUUUAAUUGAAACAUACGGUUGAUUAGACAGACGGAUAUGACUUGAUCAAAAUUGCUUUGAAUUUGAAUAUUGUUUGUCAUAUACUUUUAUGUACGUUUUUUUAUAUGCUCGGAAUAUCGACUUU